CAUACUUAUUCAUUGACGUAUUAUAACAGGCAGUUGACAUGCAUCAUGCCUUAAUAAAAAUAGCAAUUAAGAGUCUUGAACUCCAAAGGUUAGAGGUAUGAGUUUUCGACAGUUGGGAAACUCAAGAGGCGGGGAAGAGACAGAAGUUGUCCGGCGACAUUGCGCCAGGUGAUCGCGAUUAUCUCGUUUCUGCAUUUUGUAGCAAGGCUUCAUUUGUGGCAAUAUCCAGGUUGAGGAAUUCGUAAAGUUCGCCGCCAUUCGACAGCUCUUGUAAGUUCGAACCAUGAGUGGUGAAGUUCUACAGGAGAAUGUUGGUACCUCCAGAUCAACUUGGUGGACUCGACGAAUUGCCUGGAUAAGAACCAACCUUUCAGUUACACGUCUUAAAAGUCCGUCUCACUGUGGAACAAGAGGCUGCGCGAUUGUUUCGAUGGCGGCCGGCUGAAAGAAGCGUGCCAGCUGUUCGACGACAUGCCGGAAAGGAAUAAGGCAUCCUGGACAACGGUGAUCUUCGGAUACGGUAGAAAUGGGCGUCUUUAGAAUUCCAUCGAUUUAUUCGAAGAAAUGCUUCACAGGAAGCAGGUUGCGUGGAAUUCGAUGCUCUUGCCAUAUGUGAGCUCGGACCAACUUCAGCCUGCCGGUCACUUGUUCGAGAAAAUGCCUCAAAGAAACUCGACCUUGUACUUGAUCAUGAUCAAUCGCUUGUCUCGAGGUGGGUCUGCGUCAGAUGCACUCACAUGUUCAAUUCAAUGCCCGCACUGUUCGGAAUGUGGUCUUGUAGACUGCAAUGAUCGAUGGACUGGCACAUGAUGGUGAUCAUCUCAUUGCAUUAAACCUUUUCUCGUUCUUACACUGCAGCAUGUGGGACGACGGUGACGCCUAAUGGCUUCACUUUCGUCGUUGUAAUGAAGUCAUGUGUGGAGUUGAAAUCCAUUUAGUAUAGCAUGCAGAUUCAUGCAUUGGAAGUAAAUCCCAACUGUGGCGAGGGUGACAAGGAGUCUGAUUAUGUUUAUAACUCGCUUAUGAAUAUGUAUGCUAAAUGUGGAGAUCUUGGUGAGACGGAGAAAAUAUUUCACAGACGUGCCUAAUUGGGACCCAAAUGGCUUGGAUCAUCAUCAAAUUAGAGCCAACAUAACAUUUUCAAGGUAUGUGAUUUUAACAUUUUGUUUUCAAAAUACUGGUACUAAUGUAGCGCUACAUAUAGCUUGAAAGUGCAAAAUCAUGUUUCUGUUUCUUGACAGUUUUCUGCUUAGACAGGUUGAAGAAGAAGGAUUGGUGUCAUUCAAUUAUAUCAUGGAUGGUCGGAUCUAGCAUCAUUCAAUUGAUAAAGGCCAAAUUAUUUGUUGACAUAAUGAAAGAGAAGAAUGUUAUUUCUUGCAAUAUGAUCUCAGGAUUGUUAGAAAAUGGUCAUGGUGAAGAAGCUCUAUGGUUUUUUGUACAUCUGCUGCAAUCAUGGUCAGAUUUGAAGUCAAACCUAUCAACAUGUUCUAUUGUUAUAACUAUUUGUUUUACUUUAGCAGCACUGGAACAGGGAAGACAAAUUCAUGCAAAGAUUUAAGGUUGGUUAUAUGGUAGUAAUGUUUUUGUAGGCAAUUCAUUAAUCGGCAUGUAGUCAAACUGUCGAUUCAUAUUAGAAUCAGAACAAGUUUUUAGGGAGUUCAUGGUUCACAGGGACAUUGUGUCAUGGAAUGCUGUGAUCUUAGGCCUUGGACAAAAUGGAUGUCCAAGAAAGGCAUUGGAAACUGCACACAGUUUUGGACAUAGCAAACCUGAAAACACAACACAUGCAUUGCAAUAUUAACAUCUUGUAGCCAUGGUGGCCUUGUUGAUGAUGGGCUCAAGUACUUUGGUGUAAUGAAUUCUAGGACCACCUUAAAACCAAGCUUGGAUCAUUACAUUUGUGUUAUAGACAUGCUGCGAAGAGAAGGUAGAGCAAGUGAAGCAUGAAUGAUAAGGGAGAUGCCAUUUGUUGCAAAUGUUGCAGUGUGGAGGAGCCUCCUUUCUUCAUGUGUGGCACAUGGAGAUCUGCAUGUCGGGAAUAUUGCAGCUCAACAACUUCUGUUUGAGCGUGAUAGCGCUGAAAUCUUUAUAAUGUUAACAAAUAUUUACGAAAUGGGAGAUUUGAGGAAUCAAGGGACAUCAGGAAGUUGGUGGGCAAAAGAGGAUUGAAGAAGGAACCUGGUUGUAGCUGGAUUAGAAUGAGAAAUCAUAUUCAAGCAGUGGCAGAGCUAUGUUGCAUAUUAUUUAUAUAUAGAAACUUCAUUAAUUUUCAGUUUUUGUUUGGUUUUGUUUUGUUUUUUUACAUAUGAGUGCCCUUUGAAAUUUAAACUUAGAAUGCCCUUUAACCAGAAGUUUUCUGGCUCCGCCACUGACUCAAGGUUUUAUAGUUUGAACAGGAUGGCAGGAUCUGUUGCCAAUGGCAUGUAGAGAGAAGGAGAAAGGGCAUAACGCUGUCGGCUUUGGCCAGACAUGGGUUGCGCAUGCACAUCUACACACACACACACACACAGAAGAACAGCAGUUCCAGCACAAGAUGAGCACCAAGGAUGUGGUGCUGGAUGGAGGGUGAAGCGGUGGUACUGGAGGGAGUGAGCAGGUGUUCUGACUUGUGAAGGAGAGGAGGAAACUGCUUUAGGAUGUAGGAAUGAGGGCUCUAAGUGAAGCAAGUGAAGGUGGUAAAGAUGGAUGGAAAAUGAAGUGUGUAACGUUAAGCGCACAGUCCAUAACCAUCUGAUCUGUUUAAAUCAGUGACCAACUUUAGUGUUAAUGCUUUCUAUACUUGUUUUCCCGUAGAGUGCACCCAGUUUUUCCAAAAGUUUUUCAUUUCCUCAGAAUCUUACUGGGGAAGUGAUUAAUAGACAUUUGAGGAACCAAGGCUCGGAUCACUAACUAUGCUGUAAGCGCAAACUUCAUUAAAGCUUCAAAA